CAACUACUCCCUUUGUCCCAAAUUUCUUUUCUUCGAUUUGUCUAGAUACGGAUGUAUCUAAUACUAAAAUGUGACUUGAUACAUACCUAUCUAGACAAAUCUAAGACAAGAAUUUUGGGACGGAGGGAGUACUUU
rfam:Triticum aestivum genome assembly, contig: Triticum_aestivum_CS42_TGACv1_scaffold_502529_6BL